rnacentral:rRNA from 1 species
GAUGAACGCUGGCGGCGUGCUUAACACAUGCCAGUCGAACGAAGCACUGUAUUUGAUUUCCUUCUGAACUUAUUAUUUUAUGACUGAGUGGCGGACGGGUAAGUAACGCAUGGGUAACCUGCCUUUUACAGGGGGAUAACAUUUUGAAACGUCUUCUAAUACCGCAUAAGCGCACAUCAUCACAUGAUGCAGUGUUGAAAACUCCGGUUGGAUAAGAUGGACCUUAGUUGGAUUGUCUAGUUGGUGAGUGCACGGCCCACGAAGGCGACGAUCCAUAGACGACAUGAUAGGGUGACUGCACACACUGGCACUGAGCAACGGUAGAGAAUCCUCCGCGAGGCAGGAGUGGGGAAUAUUGCAAAACGGGGGAAAGCAUGAUGGAGUGACGAUGCGUGAGCGAAGAAGUAUUGCGGUAUGUAAAGCUUUAUCAGCAGGGAAGAUAAUGACGUUACCUGAAUAAGAAGCACCGGCUAACUACGUG